CACUGAUUGUACAGCUGGCUCCCAGAAUUCCUGGAAACUUAACCAUCAGCUCCCAAGAGCUGGUACAAGCCAGCUCCAGCACACUCCCAUUGGGACUCUCAGAGACAGAGGGAAUGGAGCUUUGCCCAAAACCUCAUGGCCACAGAACCCUUUUCUUGGGACCUGUAAAAGGAUGAAUACUUUGUAGACACACUUUAGGAGAUUCUGGUUUGAUUAUUCUCUAAAUGGGGAAACUGAGAAGCUCGGGGUCUUGCCCAAGAACUCAGAUCCAAACACAAAUGAAACUCUUCGGAGCCUCAGUCCUGCAGCAAAAAGUUUAAUGUUCCUCCUUCGUUCAAAACUGUCCUAGAUUCACAACUGCCGUUUACUCGCCAUGUGCCAUGUCAGAUGAGAAAACUGGAGUGCAGAGAUGUUAGAUAACGCCACAAAAGGAAGCAAAGGCGUGGUUUGCUAAGAGAUGUCCUGCUCCCAUUUCCCUCAGCAUCGGAACCACAGCACCUCUUAGCUGCACGUGGGUACCACCAGCCCGAUUUCUCCCUGAAAAUCUCUCCAUUCAUCGCUGUUCAACUUAAGGCAGUGAAAAAUUCUGUUAAAAUGCAAAUCGUACCCUGGAGGGGAAGCACAUUAAACUACUACUCUCCAUUUAAACUUUUUUGUGAAUUCGUUUUCUUGAUUGGUUUUUGAUUCAUUGAAGAAGCCCACCCAGAGUG
rnacentral:lncRNA from 1 species